GUGGCUUGAGCCUUGACACUUUUAUUCUGAGGUUCCAGCUAGCCCUAAGCAGGAAUUUCUGAGAUGGAUAUGUCUCAUUGAUCUUGGAUUUGAUCUGCAGCUAUAAGUUACAAAAGAGGGAGGUCUUACUGUGAAAUACAUCAGAAUAGCUCAAAACUUUCAGUAGGACAGCCAGGCGCGGUGGCUGAUGCCUGUAAUCCCAGCACUUUGGGAGGCCGAGGUGGGCGGAUCACGAGCAUCAGCAUCAGUUGGGAGAUUAUGGUGGCCUCCAUGUCAGACCUCCUAAAUCGGAAUAUCAGAGAAGGUGGCCCAGGUUACCAUGCUUCAUCUGCCAAUGCAUUGAAAACUUGGAAUGUAAAUUAAUUCAACCAUUGUGGAAGAUGGUGUAGUGAUUCCUCAAAGACCUAGAAGCAGAAAUAUCAUUUGAUCCAGAAAUCCCAUUACUGUGUAUACACCCAAAGGAAUAUAAACCAUUCUAUUACAAAGAUACAUGCGUGCGUAUGUU
rnacentral:lncRNA from 1 species